CAUGAGUCACAGCAGCUGGCUCAAGGCUGGGAGGGGAAGUAAAACACUAAAUCUAAGGACCACUCUAUUCACCCUACAGUGACUGCUCUUUUUCCCUCCUGCCACAGUCCAGGGUAGGAGAUACUUCUCCAGGCUCUCACUUAUGGGGGCUUUCCUGCUGGCUACAUCACUGAAAUGGAAUCUCCUAGUGGCCCUUCUCCCUCUACAGCUCUGGUGUUACACUGAAAAACUAGAAGGUUCAAAACAGACAAGGGAAAAAGAGAAACAUCAGAAAGUCUGAUUAAAGUAGAAGCAUCAUAUUUCUAUCAACGUAUCCACUGUGCUUGGCAGGGGAUGGGCCCUUCUGCUGCAGCAUAAGAGGGGUACACAAUUGCAGGCCCUUGACAUCUUUUGCCUGGAUUAUUGCAACAGCCUCCAAAAGGACUCGUCUGUCUCCAUGAUACCCCUCCAUCCUCCUCUGCAUCAUCACCAAGGGAAUCUUUGUAAAGCAAAGGCAUGAUCAUGCUUAUCACCUGGUGGAAACCCUUCAGAGACUCUCCACUCCCCAGAGCAGGCACCACAUCGUUAACUCUGUAAUAUUCACCGGCAGGAAAACCCAAGGGAAUGACUACUAUGACAUCUGAUGGGUCUCACGGUGUUGCCCAGGCUGAAUACAAUCGUGCAAUCAUGACUCUCUGCAGACUUGACAUCCUGGGCUCAUCAAGCAAUCCUCCUGCCUCAGCCUCCCGAAUAGCUGAGACUACAGGC
rnacentral:lncRNA from 1 species